ACAACGAAAACAAAUAAAUUUAUCAAAGCUGCAAUGUGCCUUGUUUACUAGGUUUCUUUGUUUUUUUUUUGUUUUUUAAGUAAAUUUGUAGUUGCAAUUUUGUAUUGUUAUUCGUUCGAAACAUAACUAAUGAAUCCAUUGAGUUCAAGUUAUAAAAAUGAAAAAAGGAAUUCGUUCCAUUCAUUGUCCUUUCGAAGAAAAUCAUCAACGUCGACCACACCAUUCACGUCACAGAAAUAGCAGUCAAGUCGAGAUGAUACUGCUGCUACCGAUACUGGUGCCUCUGUUUCAACACCAGAAGCAUCAGCAGCAUAACCUCUACACUAACAUCAAGUCAAUAAUCAUUCGUGGAGGACAGUAUCAAUAAUUCAAUGAGCUCUGAAAAACGCAAAGAAGAAUGAUUCCCACAGAUUCAAGGAACGCAUGGGAAUACACUUUUUGAUGCUUUUCAAACUUAAAUGGAAUAAUUUUUAUAGUGGUUAAGAAGAAGAAUAUUGUCAACUUUUCAUGAGUCUCGAAGAAUUCAAAGAGGAGACAAUAAACAAUUCGCAGCUCAGGAAAUUACUUUGGCUAAAAUAAUCAACGAUAAUAUAGCCAGCCAUCAAUUAGGAAAUAGGUGGUCCAAAAAGACGAAACCGAUAAUCUGAAAACUCCAUUGGCGAAAAGUCCACUGACACUAAACCACUUCUUAACUCCUUGACUGUUCUAGACAACGAAUGCAAAGAAUCAAUCCCACACCGGGUUUUGGCUGAAAAAAAGGUGCCUACGAUAUAAUCAUUACGCUACUCGAACAAGAAUUCUCUUCAUCCAAUCCAGAUAAAGAAAAUCUUUACAUAAUGUGUUUGUACAGCAAUCGUUGACCAAUCAACAACCGAAUCUCUACGACGAAGAAGUCCUGGCCAUUCCUUCAUUCUUUAUUUAAUAAGAUGUCUUAUUGUUGAUGCUCGGGUUUUUUCAUUCAACAAUAAAGUUUUCUUUAGAAACAUUUUGUUCAUGAAUCAUUGAGUUCAAUAAGUCAAAAUAAGUAAAUAUAGUGCAAAAAGAUAACAAAAGGUGUGUUUUUGAUUACGCCCGGGCAUUGGACAAAAACUAAACGAAUCGGUUAUCGCCGAUAGCAAUUUACAAGGUAAAUGCAACAACAAUGCAACUAAGCCCGAGGGUGUAAGGUGUUGUUGCAUUUAACAUUU